ACGAAGGCUUCCAGGUGGUUCUCAGCCUCACUGGAGCCAAAUGUUUAGAAUAAUAAAAACUUGUGUUGUCGGUUAAAGCCACUGUGUGUGUAGAGUCUGAAAAAUCUUUAGACGUUGGCGCCCUCCAGUGGUAGGAUUAUAAGAAAGAACACACUGAGACAGUUAAUGUGUGAAUGCAUCACUAAAUAUCUUGUAUCUGUUUCUGACCUCUUUGUCGUAUCUUAACUUAAAAUCUUUUGUUUACAAUUUGCUCCACAGAUUUAAAGACACCUGUAAUCACUGGUGAUACAACUGUUAGGAAGGGAGAUGCUCUGAAUUUAACCUGCAGUGUUGAAAGUGUUCCUCCUCCGUCUCAUAUCACAUGGACUAUACUUGGCUCCAACAUAAACCUACACAACGGACCUGAUGCUGACCUGCAGAACGACACCGCAUCCAACACACUUGUCAUCCCUAAUGUGACGGCAGAAGAUUCUGGACGAGACUUUGACUACAUAUGCUGAUGUAACAGUGACUUGGCUUUCAAAGAUCUUAAACUCUGGAUGUGUGCUUCAGUCGGAGGUCCUGACCUGUGUGUGCAUUAGCGAGGGGUUUCCUUUACCCACCAUCAAAUGGCAGCUGUUGGAGAACCACGCUGAGUACUCUGUCACCACCACCGUGUCCCACCACACGGUCCACAGCACCGCCACCCUAACUGUAAAAGACCACAGCAACACUGUUGUUGAGUGUGUCAGCAGCAGUGAAGUUGGGGAAAUGCGACAAAACGUCACCAUCAAAACUUCAGAGAGACGAGAAGCUCAACAUGGACCCAGUGCAGUGCUUCCCUGGGUCGUCGUCGCUGUUGCAUCUCUCAUCGUGAACGUCAUCUGCAUAAUCCUCCUGAUGUUCCUUUGGAACACAAGAAAAAAGAUGAAACCAAACCAAGAGGACAGAACUUACAUGUCCCUGCAGAAAACCGACCCAUCACCAGAGUAUGAUGUUAUCGCUCCACGUCUGAACUAACUAGUGUCAGCUUCCACUGAGUGUGGUAGAAGAGGCUACUUCCAUACUCAACUGAUUUUCGACAUGUCUAAGAUUUUCUGAGUAUGACAUGUCUUAGUUUAUUUCUUUUUCUUUUAUGUCUGUAAAGGGGAGACUCGUGGGUACCCAUAGAA